rnacentral:misc_RNA from 1 species
UAAUUAUUAUGUUUUUUCAGACGCUGAUUGCAACUGCAAAGGGUUUAUAGUUGUCCGGUCGGCGGGCGAGCCCACCGAGGAAACGUAAGUACUCAAAAGACAUGGGUAAGAGGUAGCGGGCAAAGCCCACAAACUCUAGGUAAUGAUCCUUCCGCAGGUUCACCUACGGAAA